AGCACGUGAUCACAUUUGGAGAAGCGCACGACUGGGCAACCGUUACUGACACUUUCCGUCACGUUCACACUUGCGAUGUUCAUUUGCAACACAUUGUCUUUUAAAUCCUUCAACACUUGACUAAAGUGUUUAGGUAUCCAUAUUGGAGGAAUGUAGGCGAAUUUUCCCCUUUUGGUACACGUCCAGCUGUCAUAACCUGUGUUAUACAACACCACGUGUUAUUAGACGUGUUCGCGGGAAUCAGUAGCGUAACUAUCUCCAAAACCUUUUUUUCCUCCUCCAGGUAGAAUUUAAAAUCUUCUUGACUGUCCAAAUUAAAAUGCACAGAAAAUGAAGUCCAUUUAACU